GAUGAAGAACGUAGCGAAAUGCGAUACUUGGUGUGAAUUGCAGAAUCCCGUGAACCAUCGAGUCUUUGAACGCAAGUUGCGCCCGAAGCCAUUAGGCCGAGGGCACGCCUGCCUGGGCGUCACACGUCGUUGCCCCCCCAUCUACUCCUUCGGGAUUGCGGGGGGCGGAUGAUGGCCUCCCGUGCGCCUCGUCGCGCGGUUGGCAUAAAUGCCAAGUCCUCGGCGACGCACGCCACGACAAUCGGUGGUUGCGAAACCUCGGUUGCCCGUCGUGUGCGGUCGUCGCGCAUCGAGGGCUCGAAAAAAUUGUCGGGCUCCGGCUCGGCUUUCAACGCGACCCCAGGUCAGGCGGGGUUACCCGCUGAAUUUAAGCAUACAAUAAGCGGAGGA
rnacentral:misc_RNA from 1 species